rnacentral:rRNA from 1 species
UAUGUGAUCGUCUCUCGCAUAUCAAUAAGCGGAGGAAAAGAAACUAACAAGGAUUCCCCUAGUAACGGCGAGUGAAGCGGGAAGAGCUCAAAUUUGAAAUCUUAAAGGGUUUCCCUUUACGAAUUGUAGUUUAAAGAAGCUGUUUUCUGUUGAGGUUUUGGUAAAAGUUCUUUGGAAUAGGACAUCAUAGAGGGUGAGAAUCCCGUAUUUGACCUUUACUUUCAACUUUGUGAUACACUUUCAAAGAGUCGGAUUGUUUGGGAAUGCAGUCCAAAAUGGGUGGUAAAUUUCAUCUAAAGCUAAAUAUUGGCGAGAGACCGAUAGCGAACAAGUACCGUGAGGGAAAGAUGAAAAGAACUUUGAAAAGAGAGUUAAACAGUACGUGAAAUUGUCAAAAGGGAAGCGUUUGACACCAGUGUUGUUUUUCUGAAAAUCAAUUAAAGAACUGUUUAUGCUAAGCUGUUUAGACUUUAUCAGCUAACUGUUUAGUUUUGAGCUUUUCUUUAAUGCACUUUUCAGUUAACAAGUCAACAUCAAUUUCUUUUGCUGUAAAAAAGCUUGAGGAAGGUGGCUUGAGAUUCGUCUUAAGUGUUUAUAGCCUCUUGCCUAUGCAGUCGGAGAGAUUGAGGUCUGCAGCGUAGAUCCUUCGGGGCUAAAUGCAUUUGUGCUAAGUUAUAGCAUUUUAUAGACAACUUGUUGACUAUGAUUUGUCUUGUAGCUUACUCGCUUAUGUUAUUUUACCUACGCUUAGGAUGUUGACACACGCGCGUGCUCG